rnacentral:rRNA from 1 species
AUGGGCCUCGGCACUGUUGCAGCGAUGUGGUCCUAUCUUUGUCAGCGCUAUCAGCCCUCUGGAGAUGCUCUAUACCUCUCUAUGGUGCGUCAGGAGCAUGCUCUUCAGCAGGGUGACUUGUCUGUGGAUGAGUUCUAUUCACAGUGCUCUGCCAUCUGGCGUCAGCUUGACUCACUAUGGACAGUUGUUUGUGGAACUUGCCAUUGCUGUCAGACUACGUGGUCUAACUUGGAGUUUCAGAGGGUUCAUGAGUUCUUAUCUCGUCUCCGCUCUGAGUUUGAGCCUCGCCGUGCUCACUUGCUUGUUCGUGGUCGUGUUCCUCUCUCAGAGGUGCUUGCCGAGCUUCAUGCUGAGGAGACCAGCCUUCACUCUACAGGGUUGCUAGCGGUUCCGUCUGUGUUGGCUGCUCGGGCUCCACUGUCGUCUGCUCGGCUCACUACUCCACCGCUCCUACGUACACCUUCAGGAGGGGUGGGUCGCUCUCCUUAUGCUGAGAAGGGCCGGUCACGCCGUGACACCUUCAGUGGCUACUGCUCUCGGCCAGGUCAUCCAGAGUCUGAUUGCCGUGAGAAGAAGCGAGACCAGAGGCGCUCCUCUCCCAGUGGGACAACUGGAUCUUCCUCGACUCCGUCACUCACUGACCAGGACAUUGUUCGGCUUAUACGCCUUCUGGCUUCCUCUGGUUCUUCACCGACAGGUUUUGCUGCUGCUGUGACUGCUUCCACCACUUCAUCACUGUCGGCACCUACACCGUCAGGUACAUCUUCAUGGGUUCUGGACUCUGAGACUUCCUUUCAUAUGUCCUCUGAUUCUUUAGCGUUGUCUUCCCUUCGCCCUCUUGAUUCUCCUAUUAAUGUUCUUACUACCGAUGGCACAUCUCUUCCUGUUGCUAGUCGUGGUAUUCUUUCCACUCCAUCUUUUUUUGUUCCUAGUGUUUCACAUGUUCCUCGCCUUACCAUGAAUCUUUUUUCUGUUGCACAACUUACUGAUUCUGGUUGUCGGGUCAUUCUUGAUACAGAUUCUUGCUCCAUUCAGGAUCGUCGCACCAAGGUUUUGGUUGGUGCUGGCCCCCGGCACCGUGAGUCCGAGGGUCUUUGGGAAGUUGACUGA